rnacentral:sRNA from 1 species
UCACGGCGUGGUGCUGCGGCUUGUCCCACUAAUGCGUGAUAGGCGAUCACACGCUCGCUCCCUCACUCUCUCUCUCUCUCUCUCUCUUCGGCUGUUUCUCUUUCUUUCCCUGCGGAUGUGUGUGCGUUAGUGUUCAUAACUAGAAGAAGCACCAGCAGAGAGCGAGGGAGUGGGAACAGAAAGAGCUUAAUGAAGAAGCACUGGUUCCGAGUGAGAGAGAGUGAAGAAAAGAGAACAGAAAAGCUAAAGAAAACCGAAAAUCAUAUCAGCAAAAGCUUCUUUUUUUUUUUGAGAGAAAGAGAGCGCUCGAAUCUUGUGAAAAACAGACGAGAGAAAAACACACACAAAAAAAGAUCAGAUCGAGUGGAAGGUGUCUGGAAGUGCA